AUGUACCACUCGUACACUGCGUUUCCUCCGCGUCGUCCACGCCGACUUGGCGUCUGCUCGCGACGUUUUGUUAGCG
rnacentral:sRNA from 1 species